AAAAGAUAUUUGAAUGAUUUUGUUAGAAAUUUAUUUAAGAAAUUUAUUAUUAUUUCCAAUAACAUAAAGAUAUUAAAAGAUAUUAUAAUUAUGUUUUUUUUUGACAACGAUAUUAUAAUUAUGUUACGUAAAAUUUAAUAAAUUUUUUAGAGAUGGUCCAAAUAAAAAAAAUUACACAUGAAAGAAGUCAUGACUUCUAUUUUAAUAUAUAGUAUAGAUACUUAUGUUUUAGUAAAAAGUAUACUUUAUGUUAUUUUUGUAACCUAUUCAUGAACAAUCAAUUGUAAAUUAUUCAACUCAUUACGCAUAUAAUUUUCACAAACUUAUUUUAGUUUGAAGUAUAUCACGAUUGCAUGACAAUACUUAUUUCUAAAACGUCAGUUAAAAUUUAUAAAUAUAAGAUCCAUUAACAUAAAUUUUCACACAUAAUUCAGAACCAGCUAUUCAGCAGCACAUAAUUUAGAAUCAACCACUCAAUACUAAACUUCACAGAUCUAAAACAAAUCACAUUGCAUAAAUAAGAAAAUAUUGAAUUCUAGUAGUCUCUCUUUUCAAAUCUUUUCUCGUAAUAAGCUUUCAGCCCUUUGUAUUCGUCAGUAACUUGACAUUCGUGCUCAUCCUUCUCUCUUCCUCGGCUCCUCUCCUUCAGCCGAUAUACAUAGUGACCGGGUCUCUUCUGACUUCUCAUCUCCAGCGACUUGCUCAUGAGGGAUCACCUCUUGCGGAGUUCGUAAACUUCUUGGAGCUCCUGUGAGGUGCGCAAGGGUGAUUAAUUUCAUGGAUCUUAGGGAUUGAGAGGAGGCUCUUUUUACCGGAUGGAUCUGUGCGAUAUUAGCGUUUUCUCUUGUUUUGAUCUCCAGUGGAAUUGGGUGGUUUACGUGUGUUAUUUGUUUGGCUUGGUGUCUUGCGGAGGAAGCUCAGCUCUUCGUCGUCCAGAAGGUAACAAUAUGGUUCACCAACGCGUGCAAGGUGAUACGGUCAUCCUAUGGGUCGCAUCUCUUUGGCAGAGGCGGCGAGUUGUCUAUGACUCCGGUCGAACCUGAGGUCCCUUUCUUCCUCUUUGUCUCUCUCCGGUCACGGCUUCGCGGUUUGCUCUAGGGUUGUUUUUUUUGCCAAGUCUCAGCUUUGAAUUUCUAGUGCUUGAAUUUAUCUUGAAGUUUUCAUGUCUCCGUGAGUUUUCGGAUGGGUUUUGAGGCGGACAUCCCUCUAUUUUUCAGAGGCUGAGCGUGGUGGGUUCUUUGUCUCUCCGCUUGUCUUGCGGUCGAUUGUUCUCGAAAACAUACUUUGGAUCUCAACUUCCAAACCCAAAAGUCCUUGUCAUUUGACUGUUCAUGUGGCUGUGAUUCAAACUGCUUUUUUUACAGGUAUCGUUCCACCUUGUCUGUGAAGCUGUCUCCAUUCAAUCCCAUGUUUUAGUCUAGAGAGUCCUUGUAGUUCGUCUAGUUUUUGUUUCUCGUGUGUUAGGUUAGGCCGUUAGGUUGUUGUGUUUUUAGCUUGUUUCAGGUCAUAAGUGUUGCAAUGGAUCCAAGGGUGAGGAGAAAGUGGAGACUUUGCUCUCCACUUCGAUUAACCGGUAUCAGCCGGUGAUCAUCGAAGUCGGAUCUAGAGUUAUGAUAAGCGGCUUGUAUGUGUGUCUUUCGUUAGAGUGGGUUGAGAGCUUUGUGAAGUAACUCGUUUAUGUGCCCUUCGGAACUCUAGCAGGACAGUUUUAAACCGUACAGAUUUUAUUUGAGCUAAUGUUUGUACUUAAUGUUAAUGCCCGUUUGAGUCAA